AUCGUGCUCGAAAUCGAUGUUUCUGUUAACUGGUCGAGAACCAGUGCAUUUACCCUAUAUCUUUAUUUCUUAUUGAUAAGCCUCCAAUUUUCAUUUGUAUUGUCUUGAAUAUAAAACUUCUUUGUGUUCAAUAUAACCUCUCGAAAUUUCUUCUUCUUCUAUCUGGUUAUUUGGGCUCAACCAUAGGUUAUGUACCCAGUCUCAAACUUAUUUUAGAUUCCCACCCCAUUCCCAGGGUCGGAAAGGAAUGAAAGGACAACUGACUUACACAGGGCUAAAAAACGUUCACACAUGUAUAAUGUUUUACAAUUUUCUUUAUUUAAUUGGCAGUCGAAGAAGAUGUGGGUAAUGUUACCGUGUUCUCCACAUUGACAAUUUGGAUGAUCAACAACUUUAAUUCUGAAUAGAUGUUCAGGGGUCAGACAAUGAUUGGAACGCAGUCGCAUCAUCGUUGUUAUAGCGUAUUUGCUAAGUUUGGAUUCAAAUAAAAAAUAUUUUUGAA